rnacentral:rRNA from 1 species
AGCGAACGCUGGCGGCAGGCUUAACACAUGCAAGUCGAGCGGGCAUCCUUGUGGUGUCAGCGGCAGACGGGUGAGUAACGCGUGGGAACGUGCCCUUCGGUUCGGAAUAACUCAGGGAAACUUGAGCUAAUACCGGAUACGUGCGAGAGCAGAAAGGUUUAUCUGCCGAAGGAUCGGCCCGCGUCUGAUUAGCUAGUUGGUGAGGUUAUGGCUCACCAAGGCGACGAUCAGUAGCUGGUCUGAGAGGAUGAUCAGCCACACUGGGACUGAGACACGGCCCAGACUCCUACGGGAGGCAGCAGUGGGGAAUAUUGGACAAUGGGGGCAACCCUGAUCCAGCCAUGCCGCGUGAGUGAUGACGGCCUUAGGGUUGUAAAGCUCUUUUCUCCGGGACGAUAAUGACGGUACUGGAGGAAUAAGCCCCGGCUAACUUCGUG